UCUCAACUUUUCUUUUGCUUUGUCUUUUGGGAAUGUUUCAUUAUAGUACUUGAUUGUAAUAGAGUGAAAUUAUGGAUAAAUGUAAGCCUACCUUAUUAUUAUUGGACUUAAAUUUGUACUAUUAUUAAUAUUAUGAUCAUUAUUAUUUAUAUUAUUAUUAUUAUAAGUUGUAACACUAGUAGUAGCAGUAGUAUUGGUAGUUGUAGUAUAAUUAUUACUAGUAUUGUCAUUAUUUAUGUUUAUGAGUAACAUUAUAGUGUUAAAAUCUGUACUACAUGUAUAGGAGAAGAAACCUGAAAGGUUUCACAGGACAUUGCAGGGCUAUUGAAGCUCAUUUCAAACAGAGCAGCCCAACCUGAAGGCCACUAUUGUCAAUCUGUCUUUCUUAUGAAAUGCUAUCGAUACUGUGAGAGGAGAGGGUGGCUGCAGUAAUGGAGUCAUUUAUUUGUGUUGUCACCGAAAUAUAAGUCUUUGAUUAGAGAGCGGUACACGGCAGGCAGUGCAAAUAGACCCUUUUAUCAAAUCACAAAGCAUGUGACACCAGUAUUGACCAUGGCCUUUCCUCAGCUGAAUUCAUUUAUGAUUCAUAACACAGCACGGAAAUAGCACAAUAACAAAGAAACACUAAAGUGAUAUAUAACACCACUGCUAGAAUAUGGCGGUAACAGAUGGGUAUAUCAUUGAGGAUGUUUAUGAUCAUGUGUGCGGUCAACUAUAACAAUGGUAAAAUAUAAUAAUCAAGGGUAAUAGGAAAUACAGGAUAAUAACAAAGAAAUUAUAUAUCAGUGUCAAUAUUCAUUUUGUUAGAUUUAGAGCGAUUUAAUAUCAUACAUUUUCGGACUUUAGAUAAUACUCUUAUUAUUAAACCCUUCCAGCAUCUUCCAUCUCUAUUUAAUUGUUAACAAAUCUAUCCCAAACAGAAGUUAACUCUGGCGUGUCCUGUUGUGAUGUGUUUGUGUGGUGAAUUGAAAUUGAAAGACCUAUUGAUUUGACUCAAGAGUGCGCAAAAUAUAACAUCCCUCUAAUAAAAAUAUACAUUUUAUAGCAUUCUAUAAAUGUAUAUUGUCAUUGAAAUUUGACAUUGUAACUUUAAGAUGCACUGCGCAGGACGGUGCAUCCGGAACGAACCCAAAUCGUGCGCAUGCUCCGGAAGUUGCUGCCGCAGACAGCAGCAGCAGCAGCAGCAGUGAUUCGGCAACGCAGAGCAGCGGAAAAAAAAUCCGUCGAUUUUAAACCAUGACGACAAACUAAGCGAUGCCUUUCGCGGAGGUAAACAGAAAACAGGUAGCCCAGCUGCUCCGCUGACAACCCCCCGGCGAGCCGCACUAUUGGACAUAUCCUUUUAGGGUUUCUCAUGCUCCUAGGUGGUUCGCAGCAGGUCUGUUAAUGCCUUUUUUUUUGUCUUCUGGACACUUCACCAUGAAGACUUGAAUAGAUAAUUGUUACCUCUGUGUGUGAAUGUUUAUAGUUUGGCUAUGCUCGUCUUGUUAAACUGCUUACCUACGGAUUUCACUGCGUAAUGGGUUUCAUGAACCAUUGGCCGUACUUCACUUAGCGACUGUGUUUCGUGUGGGCAAUGUUCAACCGUGAGUUUUAAAGAACGGACCGCUAUUGUUGUUGAUGAAUCCGCCUAUCCUCGCAAAUUUGGAUAUAAGGACCCUGCUGUAAAGUAGGUAUUACGCAUUAUUUUGGAGCUGCUUGUAUGAUCGUAUAAUAGCGGUAGUGAAGUUGAUCCGCAUUAGUUAGUAUUCUUCCAUCAUCAUGCUACUGAUGGAUGUGCACUGCACUCAUCGUAAUGAUCGCAUUUGGAUGAAACGCAACUAUGCCCUGGCAUUUUAGGCAAGUCAUUCUUUCCAUUCGCUUUGCCAUUGGUUUUAGCCGGCAAGUGUUAAAAGGUAACAAAAGAUUGACGUCACCUUGCAAGUGUGCCGCACAAUAACCCCGACCACAUAGGAUUGCUGAAGUAGUUUGGGGGAUGAUAUGGCUUUCUUCAUAUUACUAUCAGGUCUGCGUCGCGGACACGGCGCACCUCGCAGGAGCGUUUCGAGAAUCCCGUGCGCGUAAUUGAUGGGAUCCGGACGGUAUCGGGGGGGGAAUUAUGCUUUUAAACGCGGAAUGGUUAAUUCUGUACUACAGCCUGUAUGUUAUCUUUGACUUUUCUGUCUCUGGCUUGUUUGUUGCGUAUACAGUGCAAUAGAUCGUAACGGAUGUGAUUACAAAACACAUUUGGUGGGUUUGUAACUGGAGCAGGUCAUGGAGCCGACAAUAAAUAUUUCGCAAAAGGUAAGAUUAUGAUGGCAAUAUGAAAUAGUGCUUUCAGAAAUGUCAAGAUAGAAAGUGGAUAUUCAAGGUUCUUUACUCGAUUUCCGCGCUAUUGAAAAUGUCUUUUUAGUGCGUUUUCUGUGGAGUACCCGAUGCUGCCUACCUCUUUUAAAAAAACAUACUUGACAUUUGGUUGACUAAAAGUGCUCACUUAUCAUAUAAUUGAAGAGUUUGCAAUUUAAAUCCGACGGGGUUUACUGAGGAUACUAGACUCUUAAACUGUAUUUGUCACCGUCUAGAAAGAAACCAUUAACACUUUGGGGCCAAAUUUCCCAACAAUAUGGGGAUUAUCUUGGUUAUAAGGCCUAUAAACUCAUGUUUCCACAUCAUGUGUGAAACCUAUGAUGUCGAGUGCAGAAGGACAAAGUAUGCGAAGACGUUGCCUGUAGGUGGCCUUGGGUAAUAUUACUAAUAUGUCAGGUAGCUGACGGUGUCAUAAAAGGUUUACUCAGAGCUUUAGAUUGUGCUUUUUCCACAUAACUCUUUAGAUAUCUGUUUGUUUCACCCUAGCUAGUCAAUAGUUAAAACUGCUGGCGUGUCUAUGUUGCAGUUUCAAACAGGCGUACAAGAUGUUCCCGAAAUACUUAUGAGUAAUGUAUUGAUUCAGGCUCUUGUCAUGGGGUAUUAGCCAACUGCUGGUAAAUCAAUUGAUGUACAAUGGGGUGAAGAGUUUCUUUUUUAACUAUAAGUGUGUGCAGAAACAUGGAUAUCAUUUUUAAAUAGUACUUCUUACCAAUACUGUUACCAUCCUCAAUGAUGUCAAUGAAUCCUAACCAGUGAAUGGAAACCGAGAGAUUAUUUGCUGAUUCUCAUCCUUAGAUGUACCAACGUUAAAUCUGUUUACUACUGAUAUGCAUAGUGUAACACAGUAAUGACUGAUGGGCCUUUUUGGUAAUCAUUCAAACCUCCACGGAGCUCAGCUCCAGUUCCACAUUCCACGAUAUGCCUUGGUUCCCCCUGGGAUCAAUAAUAUCCGUCAAUCAUCUGUGGCUAUCGUUUGUUUGUCUUAAGAUUCUUUCUAUGGUUAGUUUCUAUCUGUGCAAUAUUUCUCAACCAAAUACCCUAGUCUUCUGGCGGCUUAUUUCAAACAGGGCUGCAUAAACAGUGCAACAUCAAAGCUGUUCUUUACUUUCUUGGAGGUUUCCUAUGGCUGUGGGCUAGGAAUAGCAGAUCACAAGGUACAAAGAACCAACCGAAAGAGCGCAAGCUAGCUUUCUGUUGUUGUCAGUUGGUGUUUGGGAUUCACUGAGCUCAUUAAAAUAGAUUAAUCAGGUACAAUUAUGACUCGGGGAUUGUGUACUUUAUUUUGUAAUGGCUUUGCUGCCCAGCGUUUUUUUAAAUAAAUUUAAUGUGAUCAUUUUGUGUGCUUGAACGAUCCACUUUGCUGGCAUCAGUUUUGUUGUGUUCAAAGCCAGUCCUUUUUUAAGUGUGCCUUUACAGACCUCAGUUGGUAUGAGAGAUGCUUUAACCACACACUCUCGCCAACCCAGUGCAGUUCAUCUGCUCUCAAUCUCCUGCGGGGGGUGUUUAUGGAUUUAAUGACCCCAGCGGAUUUAGUUCUUCAUUUGCAUCAACCAUGUUGUUCAACAUGACUUGCAUUUUUGGGAAUAUCAUCCAUUUGCACAGUAAAACUAUGCUACAAGCACACGCAAACGGACACACACACACACACACACACACACACACACACACACACACACACACACACACACACACACACACACACACACACACACACACACACACACACACACACACACACACACACACACACACACACACACACACACGGGCAGCAGGGCAGGGAUUUCACAGGUACAGACAGUCUGUCUGCCAGGUCCCCCCCAUUCAUUCCGCCAUUCACCAGUGUGCAGCUGUCAGCUCCUGCUCCCCCAAGCAGAGCUGGCCACCACUUGGAGAUACGAGCUGUCAGGCCAUGCUGUGUCUUCCCAGCUGUAAAAAAAAAAAGGCUGUUUCUCCAGAAAGGAGACAGGUGUUUGCUACCCUUUAGGUAGCCUGACUGUGACACAAGUCACAUAAAGCUACCUUUAUUAAAAAAAAAAGGAAACGCAGAGGAGGACCCUGCGGUCGGUCAGGCGGUAAUGAAUGCUGCCUGGCGUAGGGUCCAGAUCAGGUGUUUGUGACUUGGGCUGCGUCUGGAUGCCUGACAGAACAAGGGAUUGGCUUGCAGGGCUUAGUUCGCCAGUCUGCUGCUGCGUGGUAUUUAGUCAGCUCACAGGGAUUGUGUUAUACUGUCCCUGAGGAGCCCAAGGCCACUCUUUGUAUUAGCUUGCCAUGUUAUUUAGUUUUUUUUUUUUGCAUGGUUUUGCAUGUUAGCCGGCAGGUCCAAUUAAGACCUCUCUCCCCCCCGCCACCACCACCACCACCACCCACCAACAGAAGAGAAACCUUGCUUGCUGUUGCUGGAAAGUGUGCGUAAUCAGCAAAGCAGAGAGGGCCUCGAGCAAGGGAGCGCCUGCAGCCCACGUUACCCAAGCCGCCAUGUUUAGCUCGGGGCUAAUCAGAGGAUAAUCUCAGUCUCCUGGUGAUUUCCAGCAGAACAGCGGCAGCAGCACACAGAGGCACACGCAGACGCACUCCCCUAUAGGCCCCUGCCUCCGCAUCUCUGUAUGCGAUCAGGGCUGUCGGGACGCACCAGGGACAGCAGCAGGGGUUGUUUACGCAUCUCUCCGUCUCCCAGGAACAGUGGUGAAGCCGGCUAGAUAUUGUCAUCUGUUUAUGGCACCAGAUAAGGCCACUUCAAUCCGAUCAGUGACCCUCCCCGGACCUAGCCCUCUGUAAUAAGACGCAGGCCGGGGCGAGUCACAUAUUACUCCGAGCAAUCCUCGCACGCCAUCAGCAGGUCUCGGGUUAUUGCGUGUUUUCUUUCUUUCUUUCUUCUUUCUUUUUUUUUCCCCCUUCGUACUCUGACGUCCAUGCCAACCGUACACAGCACAGGGCACCCAGGGUAAGAUGACUCUGCGACCGAGUGGCUGCUGCUGUUGCUGCCGUGGUCUGGUCAGCGCGGGGAGGAGGAAUACCACAGUGAAGUGUCAGGAGAGCUAGGGGCCGUAUCGAGUGGCGGGAUUGGAUGGAGAGAGCUUGAGAGUGUCAUCGCUGGCACCGGCGCCCGAUGAGGCUAAGCUUCUGGAGGAUUAGAGCACGAGGAGAUGUAAAAUGCUGUUGGCUAAUUGGGCUUUAUUUUUAACAUUUCAAACGGUUUACGUUUAAGGCUAAAUUGGCAAAGGAUUUAGAAAUCUGCUGUAGUCAGGGGAGAGCCACUCUGGAAACUAGGCUACGAGUAGGCGAUAUAAUCUAGCGGGUAACAUAGAUAUGAUUGUUCAUGCGCCCGAUCCGUCGUACUAUUUUAAGCUAAAGGGUUUGCCUUUACCUUUUUUUUUUUUUAAAUGCGUGACAUUUAACUAAAUUGUGAGCCCAUUUCCCUAUUUCACAACAAAAGAGGCCAUCCAACAAUCCCUCUCAAAGUUCACCCUCAUUUCCAACCCCAACCCAAGUCAAUCCACCAUCCAGGAAUAAUGUUACAAAACCCACUUUCUUGUGACUUCUUCUUCUCUCCCCCCCCGCCCCGUUACAACAACACCACAAUACGUUGCCUUUUGGGUGCUGGCAUGGCUGCCACAUGAUCUAAUGUGAUCAGAAUCUCCAUUCCUCAAAGGCUUCCUGGUCGCAGCUAGAGCCCCUCGUUCGUAAGGCAACACCACAUUCUCUACCUUUUGUCGCUUUCAGCUGACUCUAGGUGAGGGGGGGGGGUCAGACAUCUUGCUCAAGGAUGCCUGCGGGCAGUCUGUCGCCAUCGGGGUUGGAACCUGGCCACGUUUGCGCCGGGGAGUCAGAACACCCCAGCUAUGCGGUGUCACGUUGCCCAGGGAUGGAGGAGGAGGAGGAGGAGGAGGCGGAGGCGGCGCUCGGGAGGGAUCACGGGGGCAGGCGGUCAUCGCCAUGGUGCCCUGCCGUGUCGGCCUCUUGUUUUAUCAUCAGCUGCAGCACUUCUCAAGGCCCCAGUGUGUGGGUGUGUUGCUUUCUGUGCACACUGCGUACUGGAGGAGGGGGCGCCGCUUAAAUGGGAGCCUUUAUAACUUCCUAACCCUCCGGCCCUGUUAACAGUCAUUGUUGAGCAUGGUGAAUGGUAUCUCCGUGCCUUGAAAAGUAGCCAGAUGACAUUCUUCCUGUUGUUGGAAAGAGCCUGCGGGUUGUGUUUUUUGAAAAGCAUUUGAAAGGAUAGGCGAAGGCUGUGACCUUCACCGGCUAAUCUCUGGCACGUCAUUCAACGCUCGUUUGAAGCAAAUCCAGGCUUUCUUUUUCUCUUACUGAUAGGAGCCGCAGCGUUCUUUUUAAGUUCAUGCCGUAUCAGGGCAGGCCACUGUUCCCUUUCCUUGAACCACUACUCGAAAGAAGCCAGAAGGUCUUUUUUCUUUUUUUCUUUUUCUCUCUCUCUCUGUUUGCAACUGAGCUGAAUUGUUAUUCUGGCCAAGCAGUGCGUUUGACACCUACGUUGUCCAAACAUUUCUCAGGCCGGUGACUGAGCCCUCUGUACAUAGACCUGUGGGCUUCUACAGCACCUAUGCACCGCAUGCUCAAACGACUUGGACGAAAUACAUUUAGAGGGCUGUACAAGAAAACCAAAGCUGUGGUGGGGAUUUUGUCGCGGCCCAUCCAGCCUGGGUUGUUUACGUCUCCUCCGCUUAAAUGUGUUUUGUAGUACAGAGCUGCCUGCGUUUCCUGGAAUGUGUGUGGAUUCAGCCUCUCUCUCUGUGCGGGGAUGUUGGCCGUAAUCACAGUUCAUAGUUCCACCUGGUAGGCGGACUGGACUAGGCGAACACCGGACGUAAGUAUCCUUUAAGAACCCUGGCUCUGCUGCCAAUCUGCUGCCAAUCUGCUGCCAGUCACAUGACGAUCCCUUUUGUGAGUUUCUAUACUUUUUUUUUUUUUUUUUUUUGUAAAAAGACAUGGAUGGAAACCUUAAAAUAUUGAUACCGAUACGUUGAGUUAGGGGUCCAUACUCCUCUAUCGACCGAUUGCUUAAAGUAACAGCCUCACUUGUUCAACAGACUCUCCCAUAAUGCCAAGGUCCAUUUUGGAUUGCGUCUGAAUCUAAACAUACAGCUCUGUUUAAAGCUUUGUAUCCUUAAUGUCGAUUUGAGCCGAAGAAAGAAAUCAAAGAACACAAGACCAGAUAUUAUAAACUAUAAGAUAUGUUUAUAUACAGGGUCCAAAAUGAAAUGGAAGUAUUAUGUCUUAGAAAAUAUACAAAAGCAAUCGGCCAAGCAAAUGUUUUGAUAGUUUUGAUGCCUGCCAAAUCGUAAAAUCGAUGUAAAAUUUGCCGGUUGGCAGAUGGAUAUAUUUUCUAUAUAUAUAUAUUUAUAUCAUGUGUGUGUAUGCAUAUACUAUGUAUGUGUUGUCCUUCAGCUCUUCAUAUUCCCGAGCAAAUAAUAGUGAACUUCUAAGCGGUCUUGGCGGAGGCAUAAAGGUUGUUUGAAAGAGGCUCCCGGGGUGACGGCAGUGUGUUUGGAGUGUAUCCUGUGAAUAGCCAGCUUGCUUCCUGUGCCUCUGCUCUGUGGCCUCUAUAGGGAUUAGAAGGGGUCAGAGCUCUUGACAGUCUGUUGUCACAGCGCCCCCCCCCCCCCCCCCCCCCCCCUCCCCUCCAUGCAGAGUUGGUUCCACUCAGGCUGAGGAGGUCUUUGGGUUUGUAGCCGCUCAUUUUGUAGGCCAUCUUUCAACAAUCAAUGAUUGGCGUAUCUUCUGCUAUUUCCCUUCUUUGUUUGUGUCUGUCGAGCUUCGAGCCAAAUGAUGAAAUUGUCCAUUAUGUGUGUAGCUUGCCCGCUUUUGUUUGUGCGUGCGUGUGUGUGUGUGUGUGUGUGUGUGUGUGUGUGUGUAUGUGUGUUUGUGUGCCUGUGCAUGCACCACAUAAAUCAGGAGGGUUGUGUACAAAGGAAGCAUUGAAUUAGACGGGAAAAUGUCAACUUUAUCAUGCGACUGCAUAAGCAUUUGCGCAUUACUCAGAAAAUGUCCUCUGAAGGGCUGCUGGAUGAAUGUGAUGGAGGCAUGAGAUGGGGGGGGGGGGGGGGGGGGGGUUACAUGAAUGUGCUCGUGUACGUUUGGUCCCAAGGCAGCCGGGCCGUGUGUGUUUGUGAGAGCCAAACCUUUGUGCUGCUUGGUUCUGAUUUACUGUACCCUGGUCAGCGAGAGUCAAUGGCACCUUUUUUUUUUGGUUUUGUCGUCAUGGUCGCCAAAACCAACAAAUGUCACCCUGAUCGCUCUGGCUGUAAGACCGGUGCACCCGCUGUGUGCAUGUAAACAAACGCAACCUUACAGUCCCGCUCACCCGGGACCCGGACGAACAGACCGACGCCGACCGCUGCUGCGGACGUCACUGGCAUCAGCGGACUGGUGCCAGGCACCAGUGCGCUCUUCCUGUCCUGUGCUGUUUAGCUGCUCUCGCGGCUCUGACAGAUUGCCGUCCCUAUGGGGGGAUUUAGUCAGCCAGCGAGGCCCGUGGCACAGACGCCGUCGUUGGGCUUUGAUCAGCCGUAGUCUGCGAGGGGGGAAAAGAGAGAGUAAUAUUCCUGAUCUCAUUACAAGGAGGCAUCUCAGGCGGUGUAAUGUGUGAUUUAACCUCUUGUCAGGGGCUAUAAAAGGAAGCUGGGUUAAUCUUGUGGUAACCUCUCUUUCACUCAGGGAGCGGUGCCUUAAAUUUCCUUUUCCCAGGAAAGUGUGGCCGGAAAAAAAUAAAUGUAAUCUGCAUACCGGUUUGGAAGUAUGCAUACCGAGGCACUGUGCACUACUUUACAUAAUAUCUCCUCGGCUGCGGAAUAUCUAUCGGCGUUUGCUGGAGCACUCUGACCUUUUUAAGGAGCCGUGGACAGCUGGUUCGCAGGGAACUCGAGUAAUGGCACAUUUUUUUAAUAUUGCACCUUGGGAAAAAAGAGAAAAGAAGCCGUCUCUCGACACUUGCUUCGCCUGGAAAUGGAUUGCUUUACAGUCGUCCGUUGUUUGGCUCUCUGUCCUUCUGUGCCGCCCGCACACUGUGAACUGAUGAGGGAGAGGGCGAGAGAGGGAGGCAGAGCGAUGGAGAGGGAGAGAGGAAGAGGGAUUGGAGGUUUGGUUUAAUCAGUCAAACACAGUUAAACAAUUCCUUUGACUUGAAGGGAUUAGCCUUGCCUCUGUUGAGCCAGUCAGAACCCAUUCAACUCUACCUUGCCCGUUCCUUUAGGCCAAGGGCCGUGGCCUCUCUGGCACCACAUAGAACCACAUAUGCAGCAUGCUCCAAUGCACCUGAAUGCCGGGCCACUCUCCUUGUUCUUUGUUACCGGGCACAAUUAGAUUGAUGGAUUAGCAAAUUAAAUGCAGAGUGCCCUAUUCAAGACCAUCUCCACUCCCAUCCUGGGUCUACUCCAUUGAGGCCGUCAUCAUCAUCAUUGGCAGGAUUUUAAUUGGUUAUCUCCCCGGACUGUAGGCAUUUCAAUCCUUCCACAGUCGAUGCUGUUUAAUCUCCUACAGUCCGACACACUUUAACAUAGUCCUAUUGUUUUCCGUCCAGAGACGGAUUGAAUCCACCCCCCCCUAGUCUGGUUCUUUCCGCCAAGUUCUUUGAGAUUGUUAUUGAUCAUUCGCAAGGUAUUGAUAACAAUGAGGAGCUAAAGUAGCCUUUACAAUGUAGCUUAGUCUGGAGGUGUAGUUGUGAAAGGGGUAUUGUGCAUAAUGGCUCCUUUUCCGAGCCUUGCCCCCACAUGUUGACCCUGCAUUUUGCCUUCUAAGGCUUAGCAAGCACGCCGUUUUUCAUAGCACACCAACCCCCCAAGCUGAACUCAUUAAUUCACCAUUUUAUCGCCCAUUGCCCCUCUAAUUGGAUGUGUGUCUUAGUCAAGUCUGUAACAACUAAUUCCGGUACCUCAAUACCUUCCCCCUCCCCUGCAGUUUCUCCCACGGUAAGGGAAGCAGGCUGUGCUGUUCAGAGAGCUCUGCUAUCAGCCCCAGCAGGCCUGAUGAAGGUCGCUCCCGGGGCGAGGUAUGGGAACUCUGCGGGGUCAUGGGGGGUCAGGGCCAGCCCUAAUCCCACCUGGCGUGGUGGUGGUGGUGGUGGUGGUGGAGGGGAAAGUGUGGCAGCUCCUCCCAUGCUAGGCCAGCCCGCACACACUCUUCUCAACCUGAUAAUAAUGAAUAUAUCCGUUUACGGAUUUGGUUAUGUAUUGUGACGGGAGUUAUUAAGGAUGGACUGACCUGUUGAAACAAGGCACAAUACAGAAACACUACACAGGAAGGGCAUCAUCAAAUAUUUUAUUUUUUUUCUUGUUUUAUGCCGUUUUGUUUUUCUGGUGCCAAAUUAACAUAAAAACGUCAAAGGUCAUGUGUACCAGUCGGGGAGUCAUCGCUGUUCUUUAGCUGUCCAUUUGUCGUGGGCUCUGUGUAAUCGGUCCCUGUCUAAAGUCUGUGAUGUCCAUGGUUGAUGGAUGGCUCUGUCCUCAUUGAAAGGAACUGGGGGGGGGGGGGGGGGUGCAAAAUAUGCUGCUAGGUGCAAUAAUGAGGUGUUCAAUGGCACAGUGCACCGGUGAGCCUCAUCAGUCUUCUUGCCAGGAGAUAGGGCCAGCAGGUUCAUCUGUCUGGAGUCUGGACCCUCUAUUCUUCAUGCUUGCUAAUUCUGGCUAAUCGCAAUACCCACACAUAGAUACCCUAGAUAAAUGAUACCUAUACAUAGCUAGCUUAGAUAGAUUCUACUAGCACUUGGCUAGCUCAGUUUGUUUGACGUCCAUACAUAGCUAGCUUGGUUUAGAUUAUACUAGCACAUAACUAGCUCAGUUUAUUUGACACCCACACAUAGCUAGCCCACACAUAGCUAGCUUGGUUUUGAUUCUAACUAGCACAUACCUAGUUCAGUUUGUAUGACGUCCACACAUAGCUAGCUUGGUUUUAAUUCUACUAGCACAUAGUUAGCUCAGCUUGUAUGACAUCCAGCCAUAGGAAGCUCAGUUUAAAUGAUUUAAAUAUUCUGAGCUACUUAGUACUUUUACAUCUAGACAAAUUAUCUAAGUAGGCUAAUCACCAUCAUAAAAAUGAUGGAUUAGGAGUGAAUAAGACAGACACACAGACUUGCUUUGCAAGUCUGAGAGUAGGAGAUAUUCCCAUGCAGACACUGAGGUGAGAUGUUUGUCAUUGUGGGCCCGUGUUUGCAUUGGUCGCUGGAUGCACGGAGAUGCUAAGAGGUGUGUGUGUGUGUGUGUGUGUGUGUGUGUGUGUGUGUGUGUGUGUGUGUGUGUGUGUGUGUGAGAGAGCUUGGGGGGGUGGAGAGACUCGUAUAUAUUUAUAUAUACAUACACACAGAGAAGAGGGAGAGAGUCCAAAAAAAUGUCUUCUGUGACGCCAGGGGCAAAGAAAGCACAUCUCACACAACUCUGUCCGGGAGAUAAAGGGCUCUUUUAUUCAUGGCCCGGUCUGUUUAUAUGAGAGAGGACGGUUCGGUUUCACCCGAGGCCAGACUGAAUGUCAGGGCUGCUGUGGAGCGCUUGACCUUCCCUUUACACACGCGCACACACACACACACACGUACACGCACAUCUACACACACACGCACAUGUAUACACACACACGCACAUGUAUACACACACACACACACACACACACACACACACACACACACACACACACACACACACACACACACACACACACACACACACACACACACACACACACACACACACACACACACACACACACACACACACACACAGAGAGAGCGCAAGAUG